AAUGCAUGCCGCGCCCCAGGCCCCCUCCCCCCUCACCCCCUGCCCACCUCCCCCCAUCCUUUCCCGCUACAGCGACACCCGGCCCUGUCCGGAACCAGCCCUGAAUUCGAACCCUGCACCCCCAGCCCCAUCCCGGCCUGCCCGUGCAUACCACACACCACCUGGCUCCCUGACCCCCAACGCCUUCCGGAAUAUUUCCCAGCCUCCAGACUUUGAACGUCGGGCAAGCACCUCUGCAAGGAAGGCCGGACCCACUUGGCCAGCCUCCACCCUGGCUGAGUCCUUCUGUCCUUCGGGCCUCAGUGCCAGCUCCCCAGGGAGCCCCGCCCUGGGCUGGCUCUCCCCGGAACACUGCCUGCACCCCACUAGGGAACUAAAGACAUGUGCACCCAGCCCAGAUCCCACUAGACCAGUUUCUCAGACCCAUCAGGGGCCUCCUGGGUGGGUGAGAACUGGUGAAGGCACAACAAGGAAUCGAAUCUGCGAGGACCCAGGAAUCCACCCAUUCCACCAGACUGCCCCAGGCUGGAGGGUUCCUGAAGGCAGGAGCUCUGACUCAGCCCACCAACAGCCUCCAAAUCACUGCACUUCCCCAGAACGGAAGCCUGAUCGGAGCAGACUCUCUCUUCCUCAAAUUGCUGCCCUUCUCCGCUAGCCAUCUACAAACUCCCCGGCCCCACCCGCUCUCACUUCUUGUUGUCUGCU
rnacentral:lncRNA from 1 species